AUAUUUUGGCUAGAUAACAUAGUGGUCAUGUAAAAGAUUGCAAAUCUUUUUAGAUCAGUUCGAAUCUGAUUCUAGCUU
rnacentral:tRNA from 1 species